AUGAGAAGAAAGGCUGUUUCCUCAUCAUGUGGGAGCCUCAUAAUUUCAGCUCCUAACUGUGAGCAAGGCAUCUGUCUCAGACCAAUUCCACUGAGUCAGGGUGAAGUCAGACAGGCUCAAAUUUAAAAAUAUGGUGAGAAAUAUUAUAUAUAUAAUUACCGGGUGGAGCAAAAUAAUGAUAAAUAAUGUUAUCAAAUGUUUACUAUUUAUAAACAUUUUAAAAACAUCUAUUCAACUCUUAUAAUACCGUAUGAUGUAGCUAUUCCUUUAUUUUUUAUUAUUACAGAUGGGAAAACCAAGCAAAGAAAGUUUAAGUAACGUCCUGAAAGUCACACAGCUGUUAAGUGGAUGAGCCCAAAUUCCCAUCAAAUGUGUGUGGUUUCGGUUCCUGUCUUUCAUCAUGGGAUAAAGUAGUAUCCAAAGGCCCUUUCUGAGGGGUUCAUUAGAUUUCCCACUUAGAUGUCAGUCAUUUUGACAAGAGAAAGGAGUGGAUUGGUGUCCUCUCGCUGUCCAGAGUUCUCACACCGUGACAGGCAAGCUCCUAUGUUGUUGACAGUAACAGUACGCUGCAUCUUCAGCCUCCAGGCUGCUGAUGGAGGGGAUGAAAUCAGUCCACCCACUGUCACUAAUCCUGGCAAGGACAGCAAGGUGCAGGUCAUAAUUACUAUAAAUAGUAAGAUUCAGAGCCUGACCUGGUUUUUGUUGGCUCCAAUUCAGGCAGCUACAAAUAUCGUCACAGCUUCUCAGCUGAUGGUGGCCUUUCAACUUCUCUCAGGAAGCUUUGUCUGGAAGUUUUGUAAGUUUGGGCACGAUAAUGUUCCCGUUGACAA
rnacentral:lncRNA from 1 species